GCGAAUGGCUCAUUAAAUCAGUUAUCGUUUAUUUGAUAGUACCUUACUACUUGGAUAACCGUGGUAAUUCUAGAGCUAAUACAUGCUGAAAACCCCAACUUCGGGAGGGGUGUAUUUAUUAGAUAAAAAACCAACGCCCUUUGGGGCUUCUUGGUGAUUCAUGAUAACUUAACGGAUCGCAUGGCCUUGCGCCGGCGACGGUUCAUUCAAAUUUCUGCCCUAUCAACUUUCGAUGGUAAGGUAUUGGCUUACCAUGGUUUCAACGGGUAACGGGGAAUUAGGGUUCGAUUCCGGAGAGGGAGCCUGAGAAACGGCUACCACAUCCAAGGAAGGCAGCAGGCGCGCAAAUUAUCCAAUCCCGACACGGGGAGAUAGUGACAAUAAAUACUGAUACAGGGCUCUUUUGGGUCUUGUAAUUGGAAUGAGUACAAUUUAAACCUCUUAACGAGGAACAAUUGGAGGGCAAGUCUGGUGCCAGCAGCCGCGGUAAUUCCAGCUCCAAUAGCGUAUAUUAAAGUUGUUGCAGUUAAAAAGCUCGUAGUUGAACCUUGGGUCUGGCUGGCAGGUCCGCCUCACCGCGUGUACUUGUCCGGCCGGGCCUUCCUUCUGGAGAACCUCAUGCCCUUCACUGGGCGUGUUGGGGACCAGGACUUUUACUUUGAAAAAAUUAGAGUGUUCAAAGCAGGCCUUUGCUCGAAUACGUUAGCAUGGAAUAAUAAAAUAGGACGUGCGGUCCUAUUUUGUUGGUUUCUAGGACCGCCGUAAUGAUUAAUAGGGACAGUCGGGGGCAUCAGUAUUCAAUUGUCAGAGGUGAAAUUCUUGGAUUUAUUGAAGACUAACUACUGCGAAAGCAUUUGCCAAGGAUGUUUUCAUUAAUCAGUGAACGAAAGUUAGGGGAUCGAAGACGAUCAGAUACCGUCGUAGUCUUAACCGUAAACUAUGCCGACUAGGGAUCGGGCGAUGUUCUUUUUCUGACUCGCUC
rnacentral:rRNA from 1 species